rnacentral:rRNA from 1 species
AGUGAACGCUGGCGGCAUGCCUAAUACAUGCAAGUCGAACGAAGUGGCGCACGGGUGAGUAAUAUAUAGUUAAUCUGACCUACACAGAGGAACAACAGUUGGAAACGACUGCUAAUAACUCAUAGUGUAGGAGGAUACUAUAUCGUAUCAGCUAGUUGGUAAGGUAAUGGCUUACCAAGGCUAUGACGCGUAACUGGUCAGAGAGGAUGAUCAGUCACAUUGGAACUGAGACACGGUCCAAACUCCUACGGGAGGGAGCAGUAAGGAAUAUUGCCCAUUGGGGGAAAACCUGACGCAGCAACGCCGCGUGGAGUAUGUUACUUUUCGGAGAGUAAACUCCUUUUAUCAGGCAAGCGGUACCUGAUGAAUAAGCACCGGCUAACUCCGUGCCAGCAGCCGCGGUAAUAC